UCGAAACCCUAGCCUAACCUGCAGCUAAAAU
rnacentral:piRNA from 1 species